GUAAACAAAAUCAGUCUGUCAAAAUGUCACACAUACUGCUGUUCAAUAACUUAAAUAUAUUUAUACAAACAUAAAUAUGGUUAAAAUAUGUCAUACCAAUAAACUGUGAUGUUACUGCUCUUUUAAUAAAUGUAUCUAAUGUAUUUUCCUGCUGCAUGACACGCACACAACCACAGGACACGAAUUUCGGUGACAGCACUACAGAGCGACAGAGUGGCAUGUUUUGACUGAUUGGUCACUCAAAAUUCAAGUCACAGUAGUUGCAGGUGAUUGGGUGAGGAGGAGGAGGAGGAGGGCGGGGCGCCGUUUGAAAAACCGCGGCCAAGACUGAAGAUUCGAACCGAGAGCGGUGGACACACACACUGGGAACGCCCCUCACGUGAUGUCACGGGCACGUGGGCUUGAAGUAAAAGCCACAGUUAUGUUCCAGAGUGAACAGAACAGCACGAAAAAGAUCAAUAAGGUCAAGAUUAACGAGUGCCUUCAUUAGAUUGUGAUGUCGCUUCUGUCAAAAAGUGGUACAGCAAGGAUCAGAACAUAUUUCCUGUGCCGUGGCAGACCACCUUUAACAAGCCCCUGGACAGUUUGGCAGUGGAGGCUACACGUCCAACCCAAAACAGUUAGGAGCACAAUAUGUAUCCAAUUUAACGAUGUUUUUUUUCUGUUUCUUUGAAAAAUGUUGUCUUUAGUUGUCUUACUAAAAUAAAUAAGCAAAUGUUUUAUUGGUA